GCUAGCUUGAGCUUGCAACCGGCAAAAGUUGGUUGCCAAGGCUACCAACAAGGUCACGUAGCCACAGCAGAGCCAUUUCACGUUUGGACUAUCUAGAGGACUUCUGAGCCUUCUUUUUUCCUUCCUAUCACGUCUGUGGAGGGCUAGCUACGUUUUCAUCCCUGACGGCACACACAGAGGACAGCUCCCCUCUCCUCCCCUCUCCUCUCCACGGAUGCUGCUGCUGCUGCUGCCGCCGCCGCCGCUCGCACACAUCCCGAUACAUGGCUGUGACUUCACUCCCGAGGCAAAUAUAUAAACGAUGGCGUUGUCUCAGCGGUGUGUCGGGUUACUCCUCUGUCGGCGUGUGUCGGUCAACUCCACUGGAUGUGGUUCGUAGUAGUGGCUGUUUAUUGUUGUGUUGCUCCUCAACAGCCUCUCCUCUCCUCCUAGUGGAUAGGAAAAAUCCACCCCAGUGGCAGAACGAAUGGCGUAAUGAGAGAGAGGUUUACAAGGAACCACUCUAGACUCAGAUUGUGUCAUUUUUCUACAGCCAUAACACAAACACAAGCAAACAAACUAAAAAUAAAAGCACUCCACCCUUUG